rfam:Salmo salar isolate Sally breed double haploid chromosome ssa29, whole genome shotgun sequence.
UGCACUAAUUACUGUAAGUCGCUCUGGAUAAGAACGUCUGCUAAAUGACUAUAA